UUACCAGUUUGACAUAAAAGAGAUCCGCAAGGGACAGGUGGUGCAUGGCUGUCGUCAGCUCGUGUCGUGAGAUGUUGGGUUAAGUCCCGCAACGAGCGCAACCCUAUCAAUGUUGCCAGCAUAUGGGACUCAUUGAGACUGCCGGGGUUAAUCGGAGGAAGGUGGGGAUGACGUCAAGUCCUCAUGCCCCUUAUGCUGGGCUGCAAACACGCUACAAUGGGAUACAAGGGGCUUCGCGAGAUUAGCAAUCCCAAAAUCGUCUCAGUUCGAAUUGAAGUCUGCAACUCGACUUCAUGAAGCUGGAGUUGCUAGUAAUCCCGAUCAGCACGCGGGGUGAAUACGUUCCCGGGCCUUGUACACACCGCCCGUCACACCACGAAAGUCGGAAACCGAA
rnacentral:rRNA from 1 species